CCGCCACCGGUCCGCAUUAAAAGAGCGGAGAGGGCUCCAGGACGCCCGCUCGGCUCCGGUGCUGACGAGCCUCUGUGGGGUCCCGAGUACCCCGGGGCGUUCGUCAGUGAAAGGGGACGGGCAUUCCAGCCUCUCACGGCUCAGCCAGUCCUAUACCAGAGGCGGGCUCCGCCGGCCGGCGCGGCCCCUUUAAGAGCCUCGCGGGCCGGACGCCGGAGGUCGCGGCGUUCCCCCAGCUGCUGGGCCGCCCUCCCUGGCCAUGAAGGCGCUGCGGGCUGGCCUGUGCUUGGCGCUGGGCGCCGGGCUGGGCGCCGCCGCCGAGGGGUGGCGGCGGCGGCGGGCGGACGCGCGGGCGGCGCCGGGGCUGCUGGGACGGCUGCCCGUGCUGCCCGUGGCGGCGGCGGCCGAGCUGCCCGUCGUGCCCGGGGCCCCGGCUGGCAGCGGCCCGGGCGAGCUGGCCAAGUACGGGCUGCCGGGGCUGGCACAGCUCAAGAGCCGCGAGUCGUACGUGCUGUGCUACGACCCGCGCACCCGCGGCGCGCUCUGGGUGGUGGAGCAGCUGCGGCCCGAGCGGCUCCGCGGCGACGGCGACCGCCGCUCGUGCGACUUCCGCGAGGACGACUCGGUGCACUCUUACCACCGAGCCACCAACGCCGACUACCGCGGCAGCGGCUUCGACCGUGGACACCUCGCGGCCGCCGCCAACCAUCGCUGGAGCCAGAAGGCCAUGGACGACACCUUCUACCUGAGCAACGUCGCGCCCCAGGUAGCGCCUGCGCCCUGCGGCGGAAUGCGAGGCGGCCUGGUCUCCCUGGGCCUCGGCUUGCUCCUCUGCAGGAGGGGAAGGCUGCCCAGUGCGUUCUCUAAGUCAGGUGCCUCACCUCAACCAGAAUGCCUGGAACAACCUGGAGAAAUACAGCCGCAGCUUGACCCGCACCUACCAGAAUGUCUAUGUCUGUACAGGGCCACUCUUCCUGCCCAGGAAGCAGUUUUGCUGGCCUGCUGAGUGACACGGAUGAUGGAAGCAACAGGCUGGAGAGCUGGUUCUGGAGUCCAUAGGCUCAGGAUGGAGUCUAGGCCCUAUCACCUACUCUCCAGGACGGAGGCUGAUGGGAAGUCCUACGUGAAGUACCAGGUAAUCGGCAGGAACCAUGUGGCGGUGCCCACCCACUUCUUCAAGGUGCUGAUCCUGGAGGCAACAGGUGGGCAGAUUGAACUCCGCUCCUA